GGUUCGGUGGUGUAGUUGGUUAUCACGUUCGUCUCACAUUAGUGGUACACGAGCGGUCCCCGGUUCGAACCCGGGUCGAACCA
rnacentral:tRNA from 1 species